GACGAACGCUGGCGGCGUGCUUAACACAUGCAAGUCGAACGGAAAGGCCCUGCUUUUGUGGGGUGCUCGAGUGGCGAACGGGUGAGUAACACGUGAGUAACCUGCCCUUGACUUUGGGAUAACUUCAGGAAACUGGGGCUAAUACCGGAUAGGAGCUCCUGCUGCAUGGUGGGGGUUGGAAAGUUUCGGCGGUUGGGGAUGGACUCGCGGCUUAUCAGCUUGUUGGUGGGGUAGUGGCUUACCAAGGCUUUGACGGGUAGCCGGCCUGAGAGGGUGACCGGCCACAUUGGGACUGAGGUACGGCCCAGACUCCUACGGGGGGCAGCAGGGGGGAAUAUUGCACAAUGGGCGGAAGCCUGAUGCAGCAACGCCGCGUGCGGGAUGACGGCCUUCGGGUUGUAAACCGCUUUCGCCUGUGACGAAGCGUGAGUGACGGUAAUGGGUAAAGAAGCACCGGCUAACUACGUG
rnacentral:rRNA from 1 species